GAUGAACGCUGGCGGCGUGCCUAAUACAUGCAAGUCGAGCGAACGGACGAGAAGCUUGCUUCUCUGAUGUUAGCGGCGGACGGGUGAGUAACACGUGGAUAACCUACCUAUAAGACUGGGAUAACUUCGGGAAACCGGAGCUAAUACCGGAUAAUAUUUUGAACCGCAUGGUUCAAAAGUGAAAGACGGUCUUGCUGUCACUUAUAGAUGGAUCCGCGCUGCAUUAGCUAGUUGGUAAGGUAACGGCUUACCAAGGCAACGAUGCAUAGCCGACCUGAGAGGGGGGGCGGCCCCACGGGAAGGUACACACGGUCCCGCCCCCGGGGGGAGGCAGAAGUGGGGUAUCUCCCGCAGGGGGAGAAGGCCGAAGGGAGCACCGCGGGGGGAGUAAUGAGGUUCUGGGUAUCGAAAACUUUUUUUAUGGGGAAAAAAAAUUUUUGAAAUGACAUUGCCACAUUGUGAGGGUACUUAAUAAAAAAGCCACGGAUAACCCCGCC
rnacentral:rRNA from 1 species